GACUACGGCCAUGCCACCUUGAACAAGCCUGAUCCCGUCUGAUCUCAGAAGCUAAGCAGGAUUGGGCCUGGUUAGUACUUUGAUGGGAGACCAUCUAGGAAGACCAGGUGCUGUAGGCG
rnacentral:rRNA from 1 species